UAUUGUUGCUUCUCGAGUUCUUGGCGUUCUCCGUGGUGUGUCUCCUCUCUUCUUUCUUGGGUUCUUGGUGGUUUUGAUCGACGAAGGCGUAAUUUCUCCUCUUUGGCCACCCAGCCCCUAUCGUCCCCAUCGCUCCGAACUCCCCGAAUCCCGCUUCCUCGAGAACUCCAGCCUUAUCGAUCAGUUUCUACGAUUUCCUGUAUCUGGCACAGAUAUUUGCAACUACUUCAGUCGAGCAAGUCAUUGAUAUCGUCAUGUAAAAGGAAGUAUCAUUCUGGUGAUUUGUUCUUGGUUUUCUUGAAAUUCCUGUGAUUCCCUAACUUCUGACAAUUAUUUGCAAUUACAUUAGUCCUAUAAAUCACGGAAAUUGCUGUCUUAACGCUAGAAUCUUUCUGGUGACUUCUUUUGGGUUUUUUCUUGGAAGAUCCCCUGAAGGAAAGGUAUCGAGAGAAAUCUUUCAUGCUAUAUUGUGUGAAUACAUGCUUAUAUAGAAAAUUAGUGGUGGAAUAAUAGGCAUUGCACGAGAUCAGUGAAGAGGUUAUUUGUAAACAAAUAAGGAUAUUCAUUGGUUUCAAAGAGGCUCUGCUUGGUAAAAUAAUAACCAAGUCAGUGAAAUGAUUAUAUUGAUUAGGGAGCAAUUUGUUAAAUAGCUUAUGAAUUUCAAGAUCAGAAACAAGAUUAAUAAUGAAAGAUCCUAGUUCGAUGAAUGCCAACAAUAUAUGCAAGUAUAGUUAUGCUCUUAAAGAGGCUAAAAAAGGGGCAUAAAAGCAUGUAGGGCUAGCUUUGCAUCAUAAAAUAAUACAAGAGAAAAGAUCAUGCUUGUGAAAAGGUAAGAAAAAGUGGUCAUCAAAAGGGAAGGGGGAUUGAGACUGUGUGUUUGUUGUGUAUAAAAGGUGCAUUAGGAGCAAUUAAAUGUGAUUAAAGUGAAAAGUGAUAAGUUAAGAUUUGGAGAGUAUGUUUAAAAGCUAGUAAAUAAGGAUUCUUUCUGGACAAUACAUUUAAGAUAAUAAUAAAUGCUCAUGUGAUGUUGGUUCAAUUACAUGUGAGAGAAUUAUAAGGAGCCACAAAAGGGGCAUAGAGGGUAAGAUGUCAUGACUUCAAAUGUCAACGUAAGUGUGGGAGUUCAUGGGAGAAAUUUUGUUCUGUUAUUUUGAAAAAAAGAAUGGUUUAAACUUUAAACUUUAAAGCCUAUGUUGUUGGUAAGCACUUGACAAAUAUCUGAAACAUGAUAAUGUGAGCGGGCAGAAAGGGCAUAUAUGAUGGAAGGAGAAAGGAAGCUUUGGACACAGUCACAUUAUGGUAACUACAAAGCAUAUAUGAUGGGUACAUUAUCUCCAGUUUGAUCCAAGGGAGCCCAUGUGUCUUACAAACCACGCUAGUGGACAAGGAUCCUGAGUUCACAACUGCUAAGAGCUCUGAUUAAGAAUGUAGCUGCCGUUGCAUCAUUGGGUGUGGGAAAUACCACGAACCAUGUACUUCUCCCACAAUUGCCUAAGGUUUGGAUGUUGGCUCGCUGUGUCAACUGAAGAACAAAAUUGUAGCUGUAGGGGAGCCAUCUUGCUGGAUAGCACUGCAGAACAGAUACAGCAACUAAUGGAGAUAGAAAAUCUUGGAGAGGCAAGUGCUUCUUGUACUCAAUCAUGUCUUGUGCCUCGAAAUUAAUCUUUUUUACUUGUAUUGUCAUUGAUCUCUUCUUUGUUCUGUAAAGUGAUGGCACCAACAAGCUGAGGCAAAAUACGAGUUUGAAAGGCUUCUCAAUUCUCAGGCUAUGUCUGGUGAACAUGUGUAGCCAUAUUGCUGUAAUAGUCAGACACAGUGUUCUCUCUCUCACUCUGACUUACACAUACACGUACAAAAUACAUAGACUCAUUCUGCUUCCAUAUGCUCAUGGCAACCUUUCCUUAAUAAAUUGUGUUACAUUCUUAAAUGCUUAAUAUUUUUGUCGACCUGUUAAGUCCUUGUCUAUCAGUUCGGGUUCUUGUUUUAAUGAUAUAGAAAGUUACUCGGUCCACUUUCUAUUAGAUCAAUGUUUAAUUUUCAAUGCAUUAUUGGAGCAAUAAGAAGCCAAAAUACAUAAAUUAUUGAUUUAUCUUUUUCUAAAAAAAUUUGUAUCGUGGUAUUGCAUACCAGUCCGAACCGGCCAGUAUAUCUUGUACCGUACUAUAUUGACGGAGAACCGGUUCAGUUCAGAUCGAUUUUUCGAAAAUAGUCUGAACCGGACAGAAUCGGUCGGUUCGAUACGGUAUCGGUUCAAACCAUCCGAUAUCGGACGGUUUAGUCUUGUACAGUGUAGUACGGUACCGGUUCGGCUUGAUUUUCUUUCUUUUUUUUUUGGUUGUUGGAUUGGAUUUUUUUAAAUUUUUUUUAUUAUCGGUACGGUACGAUAUGGUACCGUACCAUACUGAUCAGGAACCGGUAUGGGCCUCGGUAUCGAUUCUUGAAAUCUUGGUUUGCAUUGACGUUGUAGGUUGCAAAUUUACUGCUUUCUCUUUUUGUCUUACACUUCAAUCUUGCUUUUAACAAAAUUUUUCAAUACAUUGAUAUAUAAUGACAGUUAAAAUCCGCAAGCAUCAUUAAUGCAUCCUUAACAAGAUAGCAGGAGUGGCUCAGCUGGACCAUCGGAUCAUUUGAACCUGGUUCUAGAAAAACUAAACUAAUAAUUUUACGUAUUUUGACUUCUUGUUAUAGUAGAUUGAAAUUUAAAUUUAAUUUAGCAAAAAGAGAACCAACUAACUUAUUUUCUUUUUUUAAAAAAUCCAAUUAACACCCGAACAUAUUAAAUUAUUUUAUAAACUAUGAGUCAGAUUUUGAUCAUGAACAUAUAUUAUGACAUAGUGGUUGAGAGAGAAACCUAUGGUGAAUAAAUAUCAGUCAACCUAUGAGAUUUCUCAGUUCUUCGAUGGAUUCGUGGUCAAAAAUCAUCUUGUUGAAUUACAAAAUGUUGAUAAUAGUUCAUUUUCUCAUUGAAAUAUUGAAAAUGAGUGGACAUCCUAACAUUUUUUUUUUGGGAAAUAUGCGGAAAAAAAAUCUGUAUUGGUUUAUUAUGUGUUCAUGAGAAAAGUCAAACUAACUAAAAGCAUUUUACCAAAAAAAACAAAAAACUAAAAGCAUAGAUCUAGACCUCUCUUUCUUUACCAUACAUGCUAUCAUUAUUACUUCGAUAGCUUCAGGAACUUUUGUCUUUUCAAAAUUUUAUCCUCCACUGUUGCCAUGGGUGAGGUGACACAACAGCUCUUUUCUUGCUUGAUCAAUGCGAGUAGAUCAUGGUGUGCCAGGAUCCUUUUCAGGCCUUGUCAUGUGGUUUUGCCUUCUUGGAGUCCCUCAAAGAAAUCCUAAAAGGAAUCCUUCUUCUGAUCUCUCACAUCUUUCCUUGCUCUCCUUCAUAGCUCAAACAAGAUAGGAGGUUAACAAUAGACUAAUAGUGAAGAGAAAAAAAAGAGAAGAGUCAUGGUUGAUGGACUUCAUAUCAACCUCAAGCCAACCUUUUAGGUAGACAGUAGAACUGCAUAAAAGACAACACUAAACAAGAUCAUGAAUUAGUUAAUUUCUCCGCAUGAUGGCUUGUUAAUUUUGAUCCACCAACCUAACGUAUUUCUAUUUUCUAUGCGAUGCCCAGAAAUGAUGAUGAAAAUGAGUAGAGAAAAUCACAACUGGAAUUACCGUGGGACAGUGAUUAUGCUAUCUCAAAAAAUAAAUAAAGGACAAACAUAUUAAAUUGAAAGGCAACUAAGUUAAUACCGACAAUAUAAUUUUUGUUAAAAAUCUUUUCAUAGAUGAUAAAGCAUGACCAACCAAGUAGGUUCUUGUGAUAUAAUGGAGGAACUAGAAAGCAUACUUGGGAAAUGUAGUAGUUUGUCCAAGAGGAACCAUUGUACAAGCAUGAUGGUAGCAACGAUAGGAGAUUUGUUUGAUCAUGUGAACAAUAGGGCAACUCCAUUGAAUAUGAAUGGAUACAAAGUGAAUCUAUAAUAUGAUUAUUCAUUUCUCCAAUCAUCCACCAUGUUUAGUCAAAGUAGGCUAGUCCUAUAUCAUCAUGCUGCAAAAUCCAAGAGUAUGUAUAAUUUAUGGGAGCUCAACUGUUGAAGUCAAUGGUAGGUGCACAGCUAAUGUCACCUGACCACAUUGAUCUUGUCAUCUAGAGCAGUGAUUUCUUUCCCCUUAUUUGCAUGAAAAUCUAGGAGAGGUUGAGAGUAUUACUGCUUGCAUUGGGUCUCAUCAAUUCUACAAUGGCAUCCCAUUAUGUGAUGGAUGUCAGAGGGGGCCUUGGGUCAUGUGUUAAGCUGCCCAUGCUCAUCGUAGCAGACUAGGAACAUACUGCAUGGUUCUUGAAGCUCAAAAAGUCUUCUUUUUUAGUUCUUUGCUUCUUUUGAUGAAGCUGUCUUGUCAAGAUUUCUUGUCAGUGAUGCACCUUAGGAAAAACUUAUCCUGACUGCUCAUGCUAAACGGAAGUUCUAUCUCCACCUUCUAAAACCUAUAGCAUAAGGAGGAGUAUGUAUGAAACCUUAUGUUAAAUAACGAGUGAAUCAAAUAAGAUUGUUUUGUUCUAGAAAGACAAAUCAUAUACAAGGAAAGUGCGCGAUAUGUAAGUGAAUAAUGAACAUAUGGUUAUUCUUUAGGAGGGAGAAAGCAGAAGGCUUUUGAUAGAUGAGAAGGGAGAAGAGAGACCACACCCAUCUUGACUACUUAAGCCUUGGAGCAAAGUAAGAGAACCGCUGAAUCUUAUCUCUUUUAUAAGGUAAAAUGCCUUAUCUAUAUUGGUAAGAUUGUAAUGAAGGCAUAUUUUAGUUGGCUUAGGUUGUGAUUAUGGAAAGCGAACAUGAUUAUUUUCUUUCCAUUUUUGGAAAAUAGUCAUAUUUCCUUUGCAUGGCAAUCUCAGCUAUAAAGUGGGAAUUGUGAUCCUCCACGGUGCAUGUUUUGCAUUGCAAAGGGCUGUACUUACUCCUAGGUUCCUAAAAACUCUUCCACUCACCCAUUUCCUUGCCCCUUCUCGUUUUUCUACUUAUUCUAGAGAAGAUGCAUCUGAAGGCACUUGAAGAUAAAUUGGGAGGGCAGCAUGGUGGAGGUUAGAGGUUUGCACUUCUUUAUUUUCCUUCUUUAGUGAUGCCCAAGUUCUAUAUUUUUAUGUUUUUAUAAUUUUAUUUUCUUUUUCUUGUAUAUCAAUAUUAUUUUACCCCUCUUUCUAGGAUUUUAGGAUCUGUAUUAGAUGUCUUUCAGUCUCUAGAAUCUAGAUUAUUCAACAAUUUUAUAUGAAGCCUUUUCUUUGAUUCACGUCUUAUUUCACAUAAGGCUUCAUGCAUCCUUCUUCUUACGCUGCUGGCUUUAAAAGGUAGAGAUAGUUAGAACUUCAAUGCAGCAUGAGCAGCGGAGGAAAGGUUUCUCUGGAGUUUAUCAGGCACAAAAUUCUGGCGAAGGAGUGAAAAAGUACACUUUUGAGUUUUGAGAACUAUGCAGCAUCAACGCCUUCGCAGAGUCCUAUGAUGAGCAAGGGCAGCUUAAUAGAUGGCCCAAGGCUCCCUUUAACAUCCACCGCGUAGUGGGCCACUAUCAUAGCAUCGCCGAGGUUCAACGCAAGCUGUAUGCUCUGGACCUUCUAGAUUUCUGUGGAAUAAGGGGGAAGGAAUUUUUGUUGGCGUGUUCAUACUCUGCAUGGGAUGGUCUGCUAGAUGGCCUAUUGAAAAAGUUGGUACAAGAAGUCAUUACUCUAGAUGACAAGAGUAAUAUGUUAAAGUAGAAGAUCGAGUCAAUUAAGGAAACAUGAACCAAAAUGAGUUGGUGACAUGGGACUAUCAUACCAAUGUAAUUAUAUAUUUCAAAUAUGUUUAAAAUAUAAAGUGGAUAGGAAGACAUAGGAGGUGAAGGUAUGGUCAAAUGAGAAGCAACAAAAGCAUGAAAAUACAAAUAUAUGACCUUGACCUAUAUAAAAUAUCAGUAGUGAACCUUGCUGAAUAAUUCAGCAUAAAUACUCGAAAGUCGAAACUUUACAAGAGAUAAAACUUCUCUCAAGUAUGCAACAUGAACUGAUUGUAGUGGUGAUUCCAUUUUUUAAGUUUAUAUCAGCUAAUAAAAGAAGCAUGACUCUCAUCUGCCAACGACCAAUUGAAAUCCCUCAUAUUUCUUUGUUCGGUGAAAGUCCUAUGAGAGAACCAGAUAAUAUUUCCAGGUGAUGAUCUGUUCUUGUUCAUUAUGUUCUGGGAUUCCUUUGCUUUCUGUGGAAUCUUUCCAUAUGCAUUUUGUGGGCUUAAUAUAAAAUGUAUUUUUUUGUUUUGUUUUUUUUCUUUAAAGAAACCACUGGUUUUGAUGUCAACAAAGCGAGUCUGGUUUGCACCUGGGGCUCUUCUAUCGUCGGAUGAUUGGAGGGUAUAUGAGCUGAUCUACACUUUCCAGUGCUAAAAACUUGGGGCUAUCUUUGAGAGUUAAGUCAUUAAGUACCUACCUUGGUCAGGUCAGCAACUUAAAAGAUUAGUAAACAGAACACAGCUACCCGCGAGAAGGCAUGAUGCUGAUUUUCAUUUUUCAAUUGGAUGCGUGUAAUCUCCCAGGUGGUAGCUUGUUCGUUCUCUUGAUCUUAUGCCUUAUUUUGAUUUUGUGGAGAUCAAUCUGAAAUUCAGACGAGCAAACCAUAUCUUUCUAAACACAUUUCUUAGAUUCUCCCCCUUGCCUCUCCACAGCCAGUAUUCUAUUUCUCUAUGUAUUGAAAUAUGUCCAUUCCUAUCAAACUCCUAUGGAGAUGCCUCAUAUCAGAUCCAGACAACCAAUCAGAACCAGUCCUUACUGUCAGCACGAAUUUGUUUCAUCUUUAUGCUGUUCUUCAUGCAUAUUUUCUAUAUGCUUUUGUCACAUUAUAAACUCUUUUACUUAUCUAACCAUCACAAGCCUCCAACUUCAGCUCUGACUGUUGGCAAUUUAAUCUUUCAUGCCUACCAGGUUAGGACGGACCCAUUGAUAUUUUACAUUUUCUAAUGUCAACUACAUUUAUCUACUUGUCUUUUGACAUUAUCCUUUCAACUAAGUAAUGUUAUCUGACUUUCUUUUUAGUUUUUCAUUAACUUCACUUCUUUCCAUGUUAAUUUAGCAAAAGAUGCAGUAAAAUGCUGAUAUGGUUUGCUAAAGAAAGGAGAAUCCCAUCUCUUAACAUUUAGUUUUGAGGAAUGACCUAUCAAGUUUGUGCUAUACAAAAUUUUGAAUUCAGCAAUGGCAGUUUAUAUUAGCUUGAGACCCAUUUCCAGAUGAAUUAGUUCUCACAGGGUGUACCAUUUGUGGUGGAUUUUCUUUUCUUUUUUUUUUGGUGUGUGUGUGGAAAAAGGAUCAAAUAAAGUUCUUGUUUGGAUAUUGACCAAUUAAUCAUUGUUGUAGAGUUGCUGAUUUGUUCAGCAAUUCUCGCAUGCAGUCUGUAUAAGCAAUCUUCAUCAGCAAUUCUCAGUUUCCCUCCUUUAAUUUAGCUUGAGAA